UAACAAGGAUUCCCCUAGUAACUGCGAGUGAAGCGGGAAGAGCUCAAAUUUCGAAUCUGGCGGUCGUAUCUCUGGCCGUCCGAGUUGUAAUCUAGAGAAGCGUUCUCCGCGCUGGCCCCGUGUACAAGUCUCCUGGAAGGGAGCAUCAUAGAGGGUGAGAAUCCCGUCUUUGACAUGGACCCCCUGCCAGCGCUAUGUGAGCCGCUCUCGAUGAGUCGAGUUGUUUGGGAAUGCAGCUCAAAAAGGGUGGUAAACUCCAUCUAAAGCUAAAUACAGGCGAGAGACCGAUAGCGAACAAGUACCGUGAGGGAAAGAUGAAAAGAACUUUGGAAAGAGAGUUAAACAGUACGUGAAAUUGCUGAAAGGGAAACGCUCGACGUCAGUCGCGUCAGCCAGCAAUCAGCCUUGCAAUCUUUGUAGGGCGUAAUUGGUGGUCUCGACGGGUCAGCGUCAGUUUGUCUCGUCGUACAAUGGCCAGGGGAAUGUGGCACUCCUUGGAGUGUGUUUAUAGCCCCUUUGGGUCGGAUGCGUCGGGCAUGGACUGAGGAACUCGGCACGAUUCUGUUUGUGUCUAGGAUGCUGGCAUAAUGGCGUUGAGCGACCCGUCUUGAAACACGGACCAAGGAGUCUAACGUGCAUGCGAGUGUUUGGGUGAGGAAAACCCUUGCGCGAAAGGAAAGUGAAAGUCGAGAUCUCUGUCGUGGAGGGCAUCGACGCCCGGAUGUGAUGUCUUUCGACGUCGGAUCUGCGGUGGAGCAUGUACGUUGGGACCCGAAAGAUGGUGAACUAUGCCUGAAUAGGGUGAAGCCAGAGGAAACUCUGGUGGAGGCUCGUAGCGAUUCUGACGUGCAAAUCGAUCGUCGAAUUUGGGUAUGGGGGCGAAAGACUAAUCGAACCAU
rnacentral:rRNA from 1 species